UACGGGGGGAGCAAGCGUUGUUCGGAUUUACUGGGCGUAAAGGGCGCGUAGGCGGCCACCGCAAGUCGACUGUGAAAUCUCCGGGCUUAACCCGGAAAGGUCAUCCGAUACUGCGGGGCUAGAGUGCAGAAGGGGCAACUGGAAUUCUCGGUGUAGCGGUGAAAUGCGUAGAUAUCGAGAGGAACACCUGCGGCGAAGGCGGGUUGCUGGGCUGACACUGGCGCUUAGGCGCGAAAGCUAGGGGAGCGAACGGG
rnacentral:rRNA from 1 species